GAUGAACGCUAGCGGCAGGCUUAACACAUGCAAGUCGAGGGGCAGCAUACCCAGCAAUGGGUGAUGGCGACCGGCGGAAGGGUGCGUAACGCGUGAGCAACAUGCCCAUAUCAGUGGGAUAAUCCAGGGAAACUUGGUCUAAUACCACAUAGUAUCUUUUAGAGACAUCUUUAAAAGAUUAAAGAUUUAUCGGAUAUGGAUUGGCUCGCGUGACAUUAGCUAGAUGGUAGGGUAACGGCCUACCAUGGCAAUGAUGUCUAGGGGUUCUGAGAGGAAGGUCCCCCACACUGGAACUGAGACACGGUCCAGACUCCUACGGGAGGCAGCAGUGAGGAAUAUUGGACAAUGGAUGGAAAUCUGAUCCAGCCAUGCCGCGUGCAGGAAGAAGGUCCUAUGGAUUGUAAACUGCUUUUGUACGGGAGCAAUAAGGGCUAUGCGUAGUUCGAUGAGAGUACCGUACGAAUAAGGAUCGGCUAA
rnacentral:rRNA from 1 species